rnacentral:rRNA from 1 species
UACAGAGGGUGCAAGCGUUGUUCGGAAUUAUUGGGCGUAAAGCGCGUGUAGGCGGCAUGGCAAGUCGGGUGUGAAAGCCCUCAGCUUAACUGAGGAAGUGCGCCCGAAACUGCUUUGCUUGAGUGCCGGAGAGGAUGGCGGAAUUCCCCAAGUAGAGGUGAAAUUCGUAGAUAUGGGGAGGAACACCGGUGGCGAAGGCGGCCAUCUGGACGGUAACUGACGCUGAGACGCGAAAGCGUGGGUAGCAUACAGG